UAGGGAAUCUUCCGCAAUGGGCGAAAGCCUGCCGGAGCAACGCCGCGUGAGUGAUGAAGGUCUUCGGAUCGUAAAACUCUUUUAUUAGGGAAGAACAAAUGUGUAAGUAACUAUGCACGUCUUGACGGUACCUAAUCAGAAAGCCACGGCUAACUACGUGCCAGCAGCCGCGGUAAUACGUAGGUGGCAAGCGUUAUCCGGAAUUAUGGGGCGUAAAGCGCGCGUAGGCGGUUUUUUAAGUCUGAUGUGAAAGCCCACGGCUCAACCGUGGAGGGUCAUUGGAAACUGGAAAACUUGAGUGCAGAAGAGGAAAGUGGGAUUCCAUGUGUAGCAGUGAAAUGCGCAAAGAUAUGGGGGAACACCAGUGGCGAAGGCGACUAUCUGGUCUGUAACUGACGCUGAUGUGCGAAAGCGUGGGGAUCAAACAGG
rnacentral:rRNA from 1 species